GACGGAGGAUGCAAGCGUUAUCCGGAAUGAUUGGGCGUAAAGCGUCCGCAGGUGGCAGAUAAAGUCUGCUGUCAAAGACCGGGGCUUAACUUCGGAAAGGCAGUGGAAACUGAAGAGCUAGAGUAUGGUAGGGGCAGAGGGAAUUCCUGGUGUAGCGGUGAAAUGCGUAGAUAUCAGGAAGAACAUCGGUGGCGAAGGCGCUCUGCUGGACCAUAACUGACACUCAGGGACGAAAGCUAGGGGAGCGAAUGGG
rnacentral:rRNA from 1 species